UUGAUUGUUCAAUCAUAGCAGUUUUGAUAUCUUUAGCAGUAGCAAAGAGGUUGAGUUUACUUACCUGGUGUUGAGAUGAGUUGAGACAUGUGAAGUAAAGACACAAAAGAGUUGAGAACAUAAGGAGAGCAAAAGGGUUAAGAGGCUGAAUAAGGUGAAGGGGAUGGUACGGAUGGAGAGGCCGUACCAGGCCGUACAAAUGACCAGGCCGUACAAGGUGAAAGCGGUCAAGUAACUAUCCAAGUAACUCUGAUGUACUGAGGAGAAGUUACACUCGGCCAAGACCUUAUCCGAACGUU
rnacentral:lncRNA from 1 species